UUGAUAGUGGCCUAAAGGUUAGAGCGUACGCCUCGGGUGCGGCGGGUCGUGGGUUCGACCCCCGGUCUAGUCAUACCAAA